UACGGAGGGUGCAAGCGUUGUCCGGAAUCACUGGGCGUAAAGGGCGCGUAGGCGGCUCAUGAAGGCUGUGGUGAAAGUCCGGGGCUCAACCUCGGAUCGGCCGUGGCGACUCGUGGGCUGGAGCACUGUAGAGGCGGGUGGAAUUCCGGGUGUAGCGGUGGAAUGCGUAGAUAUCGGGAGGAACACCAGUGGCGAAGGCGAUCACCUGGGGUUGUUCUGACGCUGAGGAGCGAAAGCUAGGGGAGCAAACGGG
rnacentral:rRNA from 1 species